ACCAAUCAAUACACUAGGGUUUUGAGGCGGUGUAACUGCUGCAAAUACUAUAGGGCAGUACUAUAUAUAUAUACAGCUAGGCAUCAGCCGGAUCCUCAUCAGCCAAUUACACCACAAAAACAAUGAAGCUUAAGAAAGACCCAAUUAGUCCGCCAACAAAUUCCCCACCCCCCCUAGCCUAUAUAACUGUCAAUUUCUCCCACUGUUACGAUCCAAGUGAGUCUCCUUCCUUCUCUCUUUAUCCAUUCACAUCUCUUCUGCACUUGUUCCUCUUCAUUUCUGCACUUGUUCCUCUUCAUUUGCCUCUCUCAAUAACGCAAGAUCAACUGUUUUAUUUUCUUGUUUCUUUUAUUUUUUUGCUGACAUGAGUAUCUUGGUCUCUCUAUUCCUUCCUCUCCUCUUUCUUUCGCACUAUCAGAUUGUAUUCUCUCCAUAUACAAUUUGAUCGAGUAUUCCGGCCGUUUGUUAAACAACUUUGAUGUACAUGGAUCGAUCUUCUUUUCUUCUCAAUUUUUUUUAGCUAGGGUUAAAAAGAGAGUUUUGUUUGUGUGAUACACCUACACCUACUUGUGUGGUGUAGUUAAAUUGGAUUCUUUGACAAAAUCACUUUCUGUUCUGACCACGUCUAUUUAUGCUCCUGGCCUUGCCUUUGAUUUGUACGAAUGAUGCCCUCUUUCUUUCCUUGUUCAUAUAUUAUUCUAUCCGAUCGAGAAAUUAGAUCAUGGAAAGAUCAAAGAUGUCUUCUUUUCUUAAGUUUAAAGAUAACAAUCCUCGGAUCGAUUGAGAGAGCACAAGAUAUGGAUAUGAAAAAAGCCAAUUAAGUUGUUGGAGAAGAAGAUUUGAUUCAUAGAUUAAUCAAAUAAAGUCGUUGUUUGCGGAAGUAGCAUCAUCAAGAUUCACAUGCAAAUUCCAAUUAAGGCCAAGGCAGGGUAGCUCAAUCUCUCUCUGCCUGCCUGCCAAAGUUGGUUGAAAGUGAGAAUCUUGAUGAUGCUGCAUCGGCAAUCAAAUGGCUACUUUCUUGCUUUUUGUUUGUCUCAGGUCAGGUGCACAAGAGCCAAACAGUGGUAAUUAUAUUGGAUAUUUCUGGAGUUGCUCAAGUGGGUGGAUAUUUCUGGAGUUGCUCAAGUGGGAGCAGGAAAGGUGAGAAGGAAACAAAUGAUUCAGAUUUUGGAUUAUUGUUACUCUUAUUAUAUGGUUAAAAUUGCUGAAUGUUGGAGUGGCGAGUUUGAAUCGAUCAUUGUUGAGACUAUAUAUGGAUGUGCUUUGGAGCUUGCAAAUUGUAGUGAAUUUGGUUUUAGGAUAUUUCUGUUGAAACAGACUCUUCUAUUGUGUCUGUGUUGACGUCUGAGACCUACUAGCUUUUGGACAUAUCACGUAUGCCAUUAAGAAUGUUGCUAUUUCUUUGGUUAUGUUACUUUUAAUUAGCCAUGAACCCUAUGAGUGCAACAAAGUUGCUCACAUUCUUGGUAGGAAUUCCAAAAUUUUGGGAGGUUUUCGCAUUUGGUGGGAAGAUUUUCCUUCUUUUGUUAAUUAACUCUGUUAUUGUUGCGGAUUGUGUAAUUUAUUUGAAGCAAUAUAAUGAAAUUCUUCCCAUUU